rnacentral:rRNA from 1 species
AUGAACGCUGGCGGCGUGCCUAAUACAUGCAAGUCGAGCGAACGGACGAGAAGCUUGCUUCUCUGAUGUUAGCGGCGGACGGGUGAGUAACACGUGGAUAACCUACCUAUAAGACUGGGAUAACUUCGGGAAACCGUAGCUAAUACCGGAUAAUAUUUUGAACCGCAUGGUUCCAAAGUGAAAGACGGUCUUGCUGUCACUUAUAGAUGGAUCCGCGCUGCAUUAGCUAGUUGGUAAGGUAACGGCUUACCAAGGCAACGAUGCAUAGCCGACCUGAGAGGGUGAUCGGCCACACUGGAACUGAGACACGGUCCAGACUCCUACGGGAGGCAGCAGUAGGGAAUCUUCCGCAAUGGGCGAAAGCCUGACGGAGCAACGCCGCGUGAGUGAUGAAGGUCUUCGGAUCGUAAAACUCUGUUAUUAGGGAAGAACAUAUGUGUAAGUAACUGUGCACAUCUUGACGGUACCUAAUCAGAAAGCCACGGCUAACUACGUG